GACGAACGCUGGCGGCGCGCUUAACACAUGCAAGUCGAACGGAAAGGCCUGCUUUCCCUUGUGGAUUGCGGGUACUCGAGUGGCGAACGGGUGAGUAACACGUGAGUGAUCUGCCCCCAACUUGGGUAUAAGCCUGGGAAACUGGGUCUAAUUCCCGAUAGGACUGCAGGGUGGUGCCUGUGGUGGAAAACGAUUUUCUAGUGGUUGGGGAUGAGCUCGCGGCCUAUCAGCUUGUUGGUGGGGUAAUGGCCUACCAAGGCGGCGACGGGUAGCCGGCCUGGGAGGGUGGACCGGCAAAGUGGGACUGAGACACGGCCCAGACUCCUACGGGAGGCAGCAGUGGGGAGUAAUGCGCAGUGGGCGGAAGCCUGAGGCAGCGACGCCGCGUGGGGGAUGACGGCCUUCGGGUGGUAAACUCCUUUCGACAGCGAGGAAGCCACCUGGAUGGAAGGGUGGUGACGGUAGUGGUAGAAGAAGCACCGGCUAACUACGUG
rnacentral:rRNA from 1 species